UUUCUCUCAUACUCGUUCCUCACAAACUCAUACUCUUUCCUCUCUUCCUCCUUUGACUGUCACCAAACCCCAUAACACAAGCUUCCUCAUCUCUUCUUCUCUUCUGCAUCCAUUUUAAUUUCAAUUUCUCUCGUCUGUGUAAGUGUAGCUGCUCAUUUCCAACCAAUUUUACCUUGAUCCGGAUUUGCUUCUUCUCGAAGCCUUCUUCCUAUUCAAGCUCAUUGGAAACGUCGACAGUCAUCGUCUGCCUAGUUUAUUUCUCAUUGUUCUAGAUUCAGUUUGGUUUUACAUUUUUUUUGUACUUAUGCAAAAAUGUAAUUUAUUUGUUUUACAUAUGUUUUUCUCUCAUUCGAAAUCGAAUAGUGGUUUGUAAUACAUUUUUGAUAGUAACACUAAUAAAUUAUGUGCAGAAUCAAACAUAA